CCCGCUGAACUUAAGCAUAUCAAUAAGCGGAGGAAAAGAAACUAACAAGGAUUCCCUUAGUAACUGCGAGUGAAGAGGGAAGAGCUCAAAUUUAAAAUCUGGCGGUUCUGCCGUCCGAGUUGUAGUUUAGAGAAGUGCUAUCCGCGUUGGCCUGUGCAUAAGUUUCUUGGAAAAGAACAUCAUAGAGGGUGACAAUCCCGUCUUUGGCACAGAUCCCAGGGCUUUGUGAUGCGCUCUCGACGAGUCGAGUUGUUUGGGAAUGCAGCUCUAAAUGGGUGGUAAAUUCCAUCUAAAGCUAAAUAUUGGCGAGAGACCGAUAGCGAACAAGUACCGUGAGGGAAAGAUGAAAAGAACUUUGAAAAGAGAGUUAAACAGUACGUGAAAUUGCUGAAAGGGAAACGCUUGAAGUCAGUCGCGUCGUUCAGGAUUCAGCUUUAGCAUCUGCUUUGUGCAUUUCCUGUUUGACGGGUCAGCAUCAGUUUUGGCCGGUGGAUAAAGGUUCAGAGAAUGUGGCAUCCUCGGAUGUGUUAUAGCUCUGGGUCGCAUACAUCGGCUGGGACUGAGGAACUCAGCACGCCGCAAGGCCAGGUUUCGACCAUGUUCGUGCUUAGGAUGCUGGCAUAAUGGCUUUAAUCGACCCGUCUUGAAACACGG
rnacentral:rRNA from 1 species